rnacentral:rRNA from 1 species
UUGGAGGGCAAGUCUGGUGCCAGCAGCCGCGGUAAUUCCAGCUCCAAUAGCGUAUAUUAAAGUUGUUGCAGUUAAAAAGCUCGUAGUUGAAUUUCGGGGUUCUACCGUUGGUCGGGCUUUGUCUGUACUGGUGUGUAGAAUUUCUACCUUCUGGGGAACCAUCAUGCUAUUAAUUUAGCGUGGUGGGAAACCAGGACCUUUACCUUGAAAAAAUUAGUGUGUUCAAAGCAGGCUUAUGUCUGAAUACAUUAGCGUGGAAUAAUAGAAUAGGACGGUGGUCCUGUUUUGUUGGUUUCUGAAUCACCGUAAUGAUUAAUAGGGAUAGUUGGGGGCAUUAGUAUUCAAUUGUCAGAGGUGAAAUUCUUGGAUUUAUUGAAGACUAACUUCUGCGAAAGCAUUUGCCAAGGAUGUUUUCAUUAAUCAAGAACGAAAGUUAGGGGAUCGAAGACGAUCAGAUACCGUCGUAGUCUUAACCAUAAACUAUGCCGACUAGGGAUUGGACGAUGUUAAUUUUUCUUGACUCGUUCGGCGCCUUACGGGAAAC